rnacentral:rRNA from 1 species
CCCAAGGGCAAAAGUCUGCGGACACGCCGCGUGAGUGUGAAGGUUUCGGAUCGUAAAGCUCUGUUGUUAGGGAAGAACAAGUGCCGUUCAAAUAGGGCGGCACCUUGACGGUACCUAACCAGAAAGCCACGGCUAACUACGUGCCAGCAGCCGCGGU